rnacentral:rRNA from 1 species
GAUGAACGCUGGCGGCGUGCCUAAUACAUGCAAGUCGAGCGAACAGACGAGGAGCUUGUUCCUCUGACGUUAGCGGCGGACGGGUGAGUAACACGUGGAUAACCUACCUAUAAGACUGGGAUAACUUCGGGAAACCGGUGCUAAUACCGGAUAAUAUAUUGAACCGCAUGGUUCAAUAGUGAAAGACGGUUUUGCUGUCACUAAUAGAUGGAUCCGCGUCGCAUUAGCUAGUUGGUAAGGUAACGGCUUACCAAGGCGACGAUGCGUAGCCGACCUGAGAGGGUGAUCGGCCACACUGGAACUGAGACACGGUCCAGACUCCUACGGGAGGCAGCAGUGGGGAAUCUUGCGCAAUGGGCGAAAGCCUGACGGAGCAACGCCGCGUGGGUGAUGAAGGUCUUCGGGUCGUAAAACUCUGUUAUUGGGAAAGAACAAAUGUGGAAGUAACUAUGCACGUCUUGACGGUACCUAAUCAGAAAGCCACGGCUAACUACGUG